AUGGCACUAAUUACUGAGUGUUUGAAGAAAGGAAAGUUCCAAUGGGCAGAAGAAGCUGAAGCUAGCUUCAAUGAGAUUAAACAAAAGCUAUCGCAAGCUCCUGUCUUGGUACUACCUGAUUUUAACAAGACUUUUGAGUUGGAGUGUGAUGCAAGUGGAGUGGGCAUUGGUGUUGUCCUAUCUCAAGAAAGGAAGCCCAUUGCUUUCUUUAGUGAGAAGUUAAGUGAAGCUAGACAUAAAUGGAGUACCUAUCAGCAAGAAUUAUGUGCUGCUUUCAGAGCGUUGAAAACUUGGGAAGUCUAUUUGCUGCCUAAAGAGUUCAUUGUUUAUAGUGACCAUCAAUCCUUGAAGCAUUUUAGAAAUCAAAAGCAUGUUGACCGCAUGCUAGCAAGAUGA
rnacentral:rRNA from 1 species